rnacentral:rRNA from 1 species
GAUGAACGCUGGCGGCGUGCCUAAUACAUGCAAGUCGAGCGAACGGACGAGAAGCUUGCUUCUCUGACGUUAGCGGCGGACGGGUGAGUAACACGUGGAUAACCUACCUAUAAGACUGGGAUAACUUCGGGAAACCGGAGCUAAUACCGGAUAAUAUUUUGAACCGCAUGGUUCAAAAGUGAAAGACGGUCUUGCUGUCACUUAUAGAUGGAUCCGCGCUGCAUUAGCUAGUUGGUAAGGUAACGGCUUACCAAGGCAACGAUGCAUAGCCGACCUGAGAGGGUGGUCGGCCACACUGGAACUGAGACACGGUCCAGGCUCCUACGGGAGGCAGCAGUAGGGAAUCUUCCGCAAUGGGCGGAAGCCUGACGGAGCAACGCCGCGUGAGUGAUGAAGGUCUUCGGAUCGUAAAACUCUGUUAUUAGGGGAGAACAUAUGUGUAAGUAACUGUGCACAUCUUGACGGUACCUAAUCAGAAAGCCACGGCUAACUACGUG